AACGAACGCUGGCGGCAGGCCUAACACAUGCAAGUCGAGCGGGCGUAGCAAUACGUCAGCGGCGCACGGGUGAGUAACGCGUGGGAACCUGCCCUUUGGUUCGGAACAACCCUGGGAAACUAGGGCUGAUACCGGAUACGCCCCUGAUCUCGCGAGAGGUUGGGGGAAAGAUUUAUCGCCGAAGGAGGGGCCCGCGUCCGAUUAGCUAGUUGGUGGGGUAAUGGCCUACCAAGGCUGCGAUCGGUAGCCGGUCUGAGAGGACGAUCGGCCACACUGGGACUGAGACACGGCCCAGACUCCUACGGGAGGCAGCAGUGGGGAAUAUUGGACAAUGGGCGCAAGCCUGAUCCAGCCAUGCCGCGUGGGUGAUGAAGGCC
rnacentral:rRNA from 1 species